ACGUUGUUCGGAAUCACUGGGCUUAAAGGGCGCGUAGGCGGGUGCUCAAGUCUGUGGUGAAAUCCUCCGGCUCAACCGGAGAACUGCCAUGGAUACUGGGUGUCUCGAGGGUGGUAGGGGUAUGCGGAACUAUCGGUGGAGCGGUGAAAUGCGUUGAUAUCGAUAGGAACUCCGGUGGCGAAGGCGGCAUACUGGACCACAUCUGACGCUGAGGCGCGAAAGCCAG
rnacentral:rRNA from 1 species